UACGUAGGGUGCGAGCGUUGUCCGGAAUUAUUGGGCGUAAAGGGCUCGUAGGCGGUUUGUCGCGUCGGGAGUGAAAUCCACUGGCUUAACUGGUGGCUUGCUUUCGAUACGGGCAGACUGGAGGUAUGCAGGGGAGAACGUAAUUCCUGGUGUAGCGGUGAAAUGCGCAGAUAUCAGGAGGAACACCGGUGGCGAAGGCGGUUCUCUGGGCAUGUCCUGACGCUGAGGAGCGAAAGUGUGGGGAGCGAACGGG
rnacentral:rRNA from 1 species